GAUGAACGCUGGCGGUAUGCCUAAUACAUGCAAGUCGAGCGAACAGACGAUGAGCUUGCGCCUCUGCCGUUAGCGGCGGACGGGUGAGUAACACAUGGAUAACCUACCUAUUAUACUGGGAUGACUACGGGAAACCGGAGCUAAUACCGGCGAAUAUGUUGAACCGCAUGAUUCAAUAGUGAAUGACGGCUUUCCUGUCACUUUGAGCUGAAUCCGCGCCGCAUUAGCUAGUUGGUAAGGUAACGGCUAACCAAGGCAACGAUGCGUAGCCGACCUGAGAGGGUGAUCGGCCACACUGGAACUGAGACACGGUCCAGACUCCUACGGGAGGCAGCAGUAGGGAAUCUUCCGCAAUGGGCGAAAGCCUGAUCGAGCCAAGCCGCGUGAGUGAUGAAGGUCUUCGGGUCGUAAAACUCUGUUAUUAGGGAAGAAAAACAGUAGAAGUAACCCUGGAAGUUUUGACGGUACCUAAAGAGAAAGCCACGGCUAACUACGUG
rnacentral:rRNA from 1 species